CAAGUCGUGGGGCAGCGCGGGUAGCAAUACCUGGCGGCGACCGGCAAACGGGUGCGGAACACGUACGCAACCUUCCUUUAAGCGGGGAAUAGCCCAGGGAAACUUGGAUUAAUACCCCAUAAGACAGUGGAGUGGCAUCACUCAGCUGUUAAAGCUCCGGCACUUAAAGAUGGGCGUGCGGCUGAUUAGGUAGUUGGCGGGGUAAUGGCCCACCAAGCCGACGAUCAGUAACUGGUGUGAGAGCACGACCAGUCACACGGGCACUGAGACACGGGCCCGACUCCUACGGGAGGCAGCAGUAAGGAAUAUUGGUCAAUGGACGCAAGUCUGAACCAGCCAUGCCGCGUGGAGGAUGAAGGCCCUCUGGGUUGUAAACUUCUUUUAUUGGGGAAGAAACCGGACUUUUCUAAGGCCGUUGACGGUACCCAACGAAUAAGCACCGGCUAACUCCGUGCCAGCAGCCGCGGUAAUACGGAGGGUGCAAGCGUUAUCCGGAUUCACUGGGUUUAAAGGGUGCGUAGGUGGGCAGGUAAGUCAGUGGUGAAAUCUCCGGGCUUAACCCGGAAACUGCCGUUGAUACUAUCUGUCUUGAAUGUAGUGGAGGUGAGCGGAAUAUGUCAUGUAGCGGUGAAAUGCUUAGAUAUGACAUAGAACAUCGAUUGCGAAGGCAGCUCGCUACACUAUUAUUGACACUGAGGCACGAAAGCGUGGGGAUCAAACAGGAUUAGAUACCCUGGUAGUCCACGCCCUAAACGAUGGAUACUCGACAUCAGCGAUACACUGUUGGUGUCUGAGCGAAAGCAUUAAGUAUCCCACCUGGGAAGUACGACCGCAAGGUU
rnacentral:rRNA from 1 species